GAUGAAGAACGCAGCGAAAUGCGAUAAGUAAUGCGAAUUGCAGAAUCCGUGAGUCAUCGAAUCUUUGAACGCACAUUGCGCCCCCUGGAAUUCCGGGGGGCAUGCCUGUUCGAGCGUCUCAGGGACGAACCCUCGCGCGGGUGUACGCGCGGUCGUGGCUGCGGUGGCGUGCCCGAGGCGGCGGCCACCGCGCUGGAAUCCAUGGGCGGACGCCUGCCGCGUGGCCGAGCGUGAUAUGACGCAUUGGCGCUCGCACGCGGCGAGGCUGCCAGCCCUGGCCCGUCUGUCGGGCGGGGGAGAGCAAGACACGUGAACUCCUCGAAUCAGGUAGGGAUACCCGCUGAACUUAAGCAUAUCAAUAAGCGGAGGA
rnacentral:misc_RNA from 1 species